rnacentral:misc_RNA from 1 species
GAUGAAGAACGUAGCGAAAUGCGAUAAGUAAUGUGAAUUGCAGAAUUCAGUGAAUCAUCGAAUCUUUGAACGCACAUUGCGCCCCCUGGUAUUCCGGGGGGCAUGCCUGUCCGAGCGUCAUUACAACCCUCAAGCUCAGCUUGGUAUUGGGCCCCGCCGACCCGGCGGGCCCUAAAGUCAGUGGCGGUGCCGUCCGGCUCCGAGCGUAGUAAUUCCUCUCGCUCUGGAGGUCCGGUCGUGUGCUCGCCAGCAACCCCCAAUUUUUUUCAGGUUGACCUCGGAUCAGGUAGGGAUACACGCUGAACUUAAGCAUAUCAAUAAGCGGAGGA